rnacentral:misc_RNA from 1 species
UAUUUUUGUCUUAAAGGAUACGAGUUUUUGAAAGUAAAGGAGCAAUAGAAACUCUGUUGAUAUUGCUCCUUUACUUUUUUUUUACAUAGCAAAGUCAUAUAAAAAAACAAAUGAAUGCUUCCAUUCUUUUGCUUUUUGUAUCCCAUCCUAUCUUAUCUUAGGAAACGAGUAAAAACUAAAGUUAGAGAAGAAACAGAAAAAUAAUAACAAAAGAAAAGAGUAUAAAUGGUUUAGUCUAGGAGAUU